AACGAACGCUGGCGGCAUGCCUAACACAUGCAAGUCGAACGAGACCUUCGGGUCUAGUGGCGCACGGGUGCGUAACGCGUGGGAACCUGCCCUUAGGUUCGGAAUAACUCCCCGAAAGGGGUGCUAAUCCCGGAUAAUGUCUUCGGACCAAAGAUUUAUCGCCUUUGGAUGGGCCCGCGUUGGAUUAGCUAGUUGGUAGGGUAAAAGCCUACCAAGGCGACGAUCCAUAGCUGGUCUGAGAGGAUGAUCAGCCACACUGGGACUGAGACACGGCCCAGACUCCUACGGGAGGCAGCAGUAGGGAAUAUUGGACAAUGGGCGAAAGCCUGAUCCAGCAAUGCCGCGUGAGUGAUGAAGGCCUUAGGGUUGUAAAGCUCUUUUACCCGAGAUGAUAAUGACAGUACCGGGAGAAUAGGCUCCGGCUAACUCCGUG
rnacentral:rRNA from 1 species